rnacentral:rRNA from 1 species
UACGUAGGGGGCAAGCGUUGUCCGGAAUCAUUGGGCGUAAAGCGCGUGUAGGCGGCUUCGUAAGUCCGUUGUGAAAGUCCAGGGCUCAACCCUGGAAUGCCGAUGGAUACUGCGGAGCUAGAGUCCGGAAGAGGCGAGUGGAAUUCCUGGUGUAGCGGUGAAAUGCGCAGAUAUCAGGAGGAACACCAAUGGCGAAGGCAGCUCGCUGGGACGGUACUGACGCUGAGACGCGAAGGCGUGGGGAGCAAACAGG